GAUAAACUGGAGGAAGGUGGGGAUGACGUCAAGUCAUCAUGGCCCUUACGACCAGGGCUACACACGUGCUACAAUGGCGCAUACAAAGAGAAGCGACCUCGCGAGAGCAAGCGGACCUCAUAAAGUGCGUCGUAGUCCGGAUUGGAGUCUGCAACUCGACUCCAUGAAGUCGGAAUCGCUAGUAAUCGUGGAUCAGAAUGCCACGGUGAAUACGUUCCCGGGCCUUGUACACACCGCCCGUCACACCAUGGGAGUGGGUUGCAAAAGAAGUAGGUAGCUUAACCUUCGGGAGGGCGCUUACCACUUUGUGAUUCAUGACUGGGGUGAAGUCGUAACAAGGUAACCGUAGGGGAACCUGCGGUUGGAUCACCUCCUUACCUUAAAGAA
rnacentral:rRNA from 1 species